rnacentral:tRNA from 1 species
GUCUUCGUGGUGUAACGGUAGCACACUCGGUUCGUAUUUGAGAGGUCCAGAUCCGAGUCCCGGCGAGGGUA